GAUGAACGCUGGCGGUGUGCCUAAUACAUGCAAGUCGAACGAGGUGCUUUUGUAGCAAUACGAGAGUAUCCUAGUGGCGAACGGGUGAGUAACGCGUUGGUGACCUACCCCAAAGUGUGGGAUAACAGUCCGAAAGGAUUGCUAAUACCGCAUGUGGUCAUCGGGUUUAGAAACCGAUGUCUAAAGGAGCAAUUCGCUUUGGGAGGGACCUGCGUCCCAUCAGCUAGUUGGUGAGGUAAUGGCCUACCAAGGCGACGACGGGUAGGGGACCUGAGAGGGUGGCCCCCCACACUGGCACUGAAACACGGGCCAGACACCUACGGGAGGCAG
rnacentral:rRNA from 1 species